AGACCCGAAACCCGGUGAUCUAGCCAUGGGCAGGUUGAAGGUUGGGUAACACUAACUGGAGGACCGAACCGACUAAUGUUGAAAAAUUAGCGGAUGACCUGUGGCUGGGGGUGAAAGGCCAAUCAAACCGGGAGAUAGCUGGUUCUCCCCGAAAGCUAUUUAGGUAGCGCCUCGUGAAUUCAUCUCCGGGGGUAGAGCACUGUUUCGGCUAGGGGGCCAUCCCGGCUUACCAACCCGAUGCAAACUGCGAAUACCGGAGAAUGUUAUCACGGGAGACACACGGCGGGUGCUAACGUCCGUCGUGAAGAGGGAAACAACCCAGACCGCCAGCUAAGGUCCCAAAGUCAUGGUUAAGUGGGAAACGAUGUGGGAAGGCCCAGACAGCCAGGAUGUUGGCUUAGAAGCAGCCAUCAUUUAAAGAAAGCGUAAUAGCUCACUGGUCGAGUCGGCCUGCGCGGAAGAUGUAACGGGGCUAAACCAUGCACCGAAGCUGCGGCAGCGACACUGUGUGUUGUUGGGUAGGGGAGCGUUCUGUAAGCCUGUGAAGGUGUGUCGUGAGGCAUGCUGGAGGUAUCAGAAGUGCGAAUGCUGACAUAAGUAACGAUAAAGCGGGUGAAAAGCCCGCUCGCCGGAAGACCAAGGGUUCCUGUCCAACGUUAAUCGGGGCAGGGUGAGUCGACCCCUAAGGCGAGGCCGAAAGGCGUAGUCGAUGGGAAACGGGUUAAUAUUCCCGUACUUGGUGUUACUGCGAAGGGGGGACGGAGAAGGCUAUGUUGGCCGGGCGACGGUUGUCCCGGUUUAAGCGUGUAGGUGUGUGUUCCAGGUAAAUCCGGUUCACUUUAACACUGAGGCGUGACGACGAGGCACUACGGUGCUGAAGCAACAAAUGCCCUGCUUCCAGGAAAA
rnacentral:rRNA from 5 species